UACAGAGGUGGCAAGCGUUGUUCGGAAUUACUGGGCGUAAAGGGCGCGUAGGCGGUUCGAUAAGUCCCGUGUGAAAUCCCUCGGCUCAACUGAGGAAUGGCACGGGAAACUGACGGGCUUGAGUUCGGGAGAGGGAAGCGGAAUUCCGGGUGUAGCGGUGAAAUGCGUAGAUAUCCGGAGGAACACCGGUGGCGAAGGCGGCUUCCUGGACCGACACUGACGCUGAGGCACGAAGGCCAGGGGAGCAAACGGG
rnacentral:rRNA from 1 species